CACACCUUCCCAUGGAUUCAAAUAGACAGAAUCAGUGUUUAGAAGCCAAUAAGCCCCAAAUAGUCUUUUUAAAUGGCAAUACACCCCAGGACCAAAGUCAUGAGGAAGGAGACUGGCAAUCAGGCUCCUCCAACAUCCGGGGGCAAAGGGCAGCUUGGCACCUAACAUUCCAGUGACAAAAGGCAUUUUGUCACACAUCUCCCCUUUGGGGGGGAGACUUACCAGGUACCUGACCUGUCGGUGAGUGCCUUAGUUAGUCGCUAAACCCACCCACAGUGAACAAGUACAUGAGUAGCCCACCCACAACACACAUUUGCUGCACCUGGUGAUACCUCUGCUGCUACUGGGCAACACGCUGUGGGGACUUGGGGGGCAGAGGCCAACUGCGCUCUGCCCCGAUGCCAGCGCUUCUGCUGGGGUAGCCUGGACGCAACUUGGUUGGGGAGGGGAGACAUCGCAUACCUCCUCCGCACGGUAUUCUUGUGAGGGUAGUUGGGGAUCUGGAUAGGCCGUCCAACAUCCCUGUAGGUAAGGUGCAGAGACUACAGUCCCAUCUGCACAGUCUGGGGGAGUAGGG